UAUCUCUCCGUACGGGGAAGGAUGAGAAGCUUCGACUAAGGUUCGAUUCGAGCGAAAGCGGGAAAGCGUUGCCGCAGGCAACGACCCGAAGGGCGAAGCGCGCAGCGCUGAGUCAUCCUUCCCCCACCACCA
rnacentral:sRNA from 3 species